rnacentral:RNase_P_RNA from 1 species
GGAGUAAGACAGACGGUCGCGUGGCGGCGGCGAAAGCCCCGUCAUGAGGAAAGUCCGGGCUCCAUAGGGCAAGGAUAACGGGUAACGCCCGCCGAAGGCGACUUCAGGAAAAGUGCAACAGAAAUAAACCGCUGAUCGCGGCUGACCCAACGGGCCAGACACGAUCAGCAAGGGUGGAAAGGCGAGGUAAGAGCUCACCCAUCGGCUGGAGACUGUCCGAUGCUGUAAACUCUAUCCGGAGCAACACCGUGGGAGGACACAUAAACCGGCCCGGUUGUUCUCAAGGAGGUGGCUGGAGUGGUUUGGCAACAAACCGCCUAGAUAGAUGACCGUUUAAUACAGAACCCGGCUUACAGUCUUGCUCACUAU